AGCUGAUUUUAUUUUGGAAAGAGCCUCUCGGGGAGAAGAGUGGAUUGGGGAGAGGGCGCUGAACCUCGAUUUAGGCAAGCCUGCGUGUGCCCAGUCUCAGCGAGUAAGAGGAGAACCCAAUGCAAUCCCGAACGUGGGGGACGGGAGGGAGUAAGCAGUCCUGCAUAGUGCUACCAGACUAGAAGCCCUGUGAGGUCCCCCUGCACAGGCAGCAGAGGGAGGAACUUGGCCAACAAGGUCCAGCCUCUGAGAGAUAUGGUAGAACCCAACUCGAAUAGGUUGAACUAAAUAAUUGCAAAUGUCGACGAAGCCAACCAGCCAGCCUGCCUCUGCCAAGGGAUUCUUCUGAGACUGAGACAAAGGGGGCUGACGGCAGGGGUCAACCCUGGAACAGAGCUUUAGCAAAUAGACAAAAUCCAGAAAAGAAAGGAAAAAAAAAAGAAAAAAAGAGGGAGCCUAAGAGAAUUGCAUGCUGGGGAGUAAGACAUCAGAGUAAAGGACUCAUUUCCCCCAAAUCCUCAAAACAAACAAAAAUGAAGGACAAAGGACACGGAUCCCUUGGGUCCGAGGGGAAAGUAGUCCCCAGAAGGCUGAGAGGCGGAGGCAACAAGACAGCCUACCACCAGGAGGCAGCAGCCGCAAACCAGCAAGGAGAAGGUAGAGCCCUGGGUGCUACCAGACACAAGGCAACAAUACCUGCUUCUACUUGGCUUGAGAUACCAAAUGUCAGCCGGAAACAGCCCAUCACCAGAGACUUCUGGGAAAAUGAAAGCAAGGGGAGCACGUUCCAUUGGAGUUAAAAACUGCUUCAUGCCUCCCCCCCACCCCCCCAAGAAGCCACUGACCUAUCUGCUAGCAAUGCACACUGAGGCACCCAAAGACAGCCGGGCCAACGCCAAAGUGCCACAAACGGAAACCCUCCCAGAACCCCACCCCCACCCCCCCAGCGGGGCAGAACCCAAUGGAUAGACAAGGACUUCCAGCCUGAAGUGCAAUCGAGUAGAUUUCCAUCUGGGGUGAAGAUGAGGAUGAGAGAGAUACCUUCCCCAAAUUCAUGAAUUCCCAAGAUACCAAGAAUCCUGGAUUCAAACAUUCAGACUAUUAAAAUGAGAAGAAAUUAGCAACAAAUGUGCUUGUUGGAGAAAUGGAUUGGCCACAUGGCUAGAAACUGGUCUGACUUCAGCAAGAGUUUGGAGAUCUGAACUUGAAUGUUUCCCACCCCCUGAUCCUAUAGGAAGAGAUGACAUUUGUUCAAUAGCCUCCCCUACCAAUAUCCCACUUAAAAUGUAUUAACUUUGGGGUUUAAUAGGGCUUAAAUGCUUUGUAUUUUGAGAUCUAUUUUAGGAUCCUGUGAUUCUUCCACAUUGUCUUCAUUUUCUAUGAGAAUCAAACAAAAAUUGUUCCAUAGGGGAUACCCACAUUGUACAUUGAGUGUCUGGGCAACUGUUGAGAACCAUGUUAACCAAAACACCCUGAGAAUCCUGGUCCUAGGAUCCACCAUAAGAACAUUGAGCUUAAAAUAAAAUUGACAAUUUUGUA